rnacentral:lncRNA from 1 species
UUUUUUCUUUUUUUUUUUUAAGACAGAGUCUUGCUCUGUCACCCAGGCUGGAGUGCAGUGGCAUGAUCUUGGCUCACUGUAGCCUCUGCCUCCCGGGUUCAAGUGAUUCUCCUGCCUCAGCCUCCCAAAGAGCUGGGAUUACAAGUGCCCGCCACCAUGACUGACUCAUUUUUGUAUUUUUAGUAGAGACAUAAUUUCACCAUGUUGGCCAGGCUGGUCUUGAACUCCUGGCCUCAAGUGAUAGGCCUGCCUUGGCCUCCCAAAGUGCUGGGAUUACAGGCAUGAGCCACCAUGCUCAGCCUUUUCUGUCUUCUUACAAGGAGGUCAGUUGUGUUGAAUUAGGGCCCACUCCAAUCAGGUGUGACUGCAUCUUCACUUGACUAUAUCUGCAAAGGCCCUAUUUCCAAAAAGGUUGCAUUCAUAGGUGCUAGGGGUUGAGGCUUUAACUUAUCUUUUAAAAUUUUUAUUAUUUUUUUGAGACAGAGUCUUACUCUGUCAUGCAAGCUGGAGUGCAGUGGCAUGAUCUUAGUUCACUGCAACCUUCACCUCCUGGGGUCAAGAAAUUCUCUUACUUCAGCCUCCUGAGUAGCUAGAAUUACAGGCGCCCCCCCUACCCCGCCAUGCUCGGCUAAUUUUCAUAUUUUUAUUAGAGCUGGGAUUUCACCAUGUUGGCCAGGCUGGUCUUGAACUCCUGACCUCAAGUGAUCCACUUGCCUGAAUUUCCUAAAGUGUAACAUAUCUUUUUAGGGGACACAAUUACACCCACAAAAAGUAUUUUCUAGAUAAGGAAGCACUACUUCUUUUUCUUCUGGCAUCGAAUGUCACUGUGGAGAAGUCUGAUGCCAAGUUGGUUUUCUUUGCUUCCUAAGAUACUUGGUUUUUCUGUCUGGCUGCCUAAAGGAUUAUUUCUUUAUCUUUAAAGUCCAGUGAUUUUACGAAGGCAUGUUUUGUGUUGACUGUUCUGGGCCAACACACCCAAGUAUACAGCAUGCACUUUUACAAGCAGGCACAAGUCUUCCUGCAUUUCAAUAAAGAGGUCUUGAAUAAUAGGUAGUUUCCACUCUUGUUUGGCAGGGUGCUCUGGCGCACACCUGUGGCCCCAGCUACUCGAGAGGCC